rnacentral:lncRNA from 1 species
AUGAUCAGAUGGAAAAUAUUCUAGAGAAUGAAAAUAUUCUGUCUAGGGAAUGAUGCCUCAAAAGAAUUAAAGAAAGAACUGUGGUUGCAAUCUUCAACAAUCCUGCGUAACAAUAUUGCAUGAAUUUUGAUGCUGAAUGACUUGGAAACCAUGCUGUCCACCACGCCGAGAAGCUGAGAAACAUUCUGCUUGUACAAUGGCACCUCUUAAUAAAAGGAACUUGAGCCAUCCAAUCUAGGGCUUCCAUCCAAUCGUGCAGGCUGCAUGGAAGUCACAUUUACCUUUGCUGUGAACAUCAUGAACACAUACACUAUUUGAAGGUUCAUGUUUAUGUAACAGUGGUGUUGUUGCAGCCUUUGGUGGUGAAAGAUAUCUGCAUCAAGUUGCUGUUCCUGUGGUGUGUUGUUGCAGCCUAUGGUGGUUAAAGAUAUCUGCAUCGAGUUGCUGUUCCUUGUGCAUCCAAGGUGCUGGUUUUGUGCUACAGAAGUUGCAUUCAGUAUUGAGUUUAAUUGGCUUCGUGUCUAUGUAGUUUACCUUUUACAUGUUGAUAAGAAACAAAAAAAGUAAUACUGGGAGGAUUAUGUCAAACAAAUAAUAAACAUGUCAGGGAUGGGGAAAUGAGGAGGAAGUUGGGGUGGGGUAUUUGGUUAUGAUUUACUAAAAGAAGUGAGGUAUAUUUGUAAUGAAUAUGCAGUACUUUGUGAUAAAAACUGUUGUUAACCUAUACCUUCCUGUCAACCUAUACCUCCCCUACUUCCACUUACACAUCUAUUCCUAAAACCCCAUAAGCACCAACAUCAAAUCCCACAUAUCCAAUCACAUCCAUUCCUAAAACCCCACAAUCACCAAACACCCAACAUUCACACAAUUUUUGUAUAUGUAUAAUUAAAUUUUAAUAAAUAAAAUGCAUUGUAUAUAA